GCUUGACUGCCUGCGGCGCGGGCGCCUCCCUCACAGCCGCUGCCACCUCUGCGCUCCCGCCUACUGCCCGCUUCCCGGCUCCCGCUGCGGUUGCGGUUCUGGCGGCCGAUCCCCCGCGGCGCUGCAGCCCAGCUCUGGCUUGCCGGCUGACUCGCACCCCUUCCUCGCUGCCCGCAGCCUUCUGAUCCACGCGCGGCGCUGCGGCAGGUACCCUGGGCAUCCCGAGGCGCGGUGGCCUGAACCCGGCCGCCAUCAAUGACCCCAGCCGCGGACCUUUUCCAGGCCGGCCAGUCCGUGUGAGUAUUGUGCC
rnacentral:lncRNA from 1 species